rnacentral:rRNA from 1 species
UGGGGAAUAUUGGACAAUGGGGGAAACCCUGAUCCAGCAAUGCCGCGUGGGUGAAGACGGCCUGCGGGUUGUAAAGCCCUUUAGGCGGGGAGGAACGACGGGACGUGAACAACGUUGCGAAGUGACGUUACCCGCGGAAUAAGCACCGGCUAACUCCGUGCCAGCAGCCGCGGUAAUACGGAGGGUGCGAGCGUUAAUCGGAAUUACUGGGCGUAAAGCGUGCGUAGGCGGAUCGGUCAGUCAGCCGUGAAAGCCCCGGGCUUAACCUGGGAAUGGCGGUUGAGACGGCAGGUCUCGAGUGGGCUAGAGGAUCGUGGAAUUCCCGGUGUAGCGGUGAAAUGCGUAGAGAUCGGGAGGAACACCGAUGGCGAAGGCAGCGGUCUGGGGCCACACUGACGCUGAGGCACGACGGCGUGGGGAGCAAACAGG